UUAACUCAAAUUUGUAUAGAGUUUGAACGUUUGCCUACGUUUGCCGCUAGGGGCGCUAUUCCAACAGUGUAUGAUCCACAUACAAAUUUCAGUUA
rnacentral:pre_miRNA from 1 species